AAUGAACGUUGGCGGCGGGGAUUAGGCAUGCAAGUCGUGCGGAAGUGGCCCGCAAGGGUUACUUUAGCGGCGAAAGGGAGAGUAAUACGUAGGUACCUACCCCUAGAACCGGGAUAGCUGCGGGAAACUGCAGGUAAUACAGGAUAAUGUCUCCGGACCACAGGUGUUAUUCCGUACGGGGAGGGGCCUGCGUCCUAUUAGCUAGUUGGUGAGGUGAUGGCUCACCAAGGCAAAGCUGGGUACGGGGUGUGAGAGCAUGCCCCCGCGCACUGGGACUGAGACACUGCCCAGACACCGACGGGUGGCUGCAGUCGAGGAUCUUCGGCAAUGGGCGCAAGCCUGACCGAGCGACGCCGCGUGUGGGAUGAAGGCCCUCGGGUUGUAAACCACUGUCAGAGGGGAUGAAGUGCCAUGGGGUUCUCUCCAUGGUUUGACAUAUCCUCAGAGGAAGGACGGGCUAAGUUCGUGCCAGCAGCCGCCGUAAAAC
rnacentral:rRNA from 1 species